GGGUUGGCUCAGUUGGUUAGAGCAUGGUGCUAAUCAUGCCAAGGUUGUGGGUUCAAUCUCCAUACAGGCCA
rfam:Manacus vitellinus contig10676, whole genome shotgun sequence.